rnacentral:rRNA from 1 species
ACACAUGCAAGUCGAGCGGAAAGGCCCUUCGGGGUACUCGAGCGGCGAACGGGUGAGUAACACGUGAGUAACCUGCCCUGCGCUUUGGGAUAACCCUCGGAAACGGGGGCUAAUACCGGAUAUGAUCUCCUGCCGCAUGGUGGGGGGUGGAAAGUUUUUCGGCGUGGGAUGGGCUCGCGGCCUAUCAGCUUGUUGGUGGGGUGAUGGCCUACCAAGGCGGUGACGGGUAGCCGGCCUGAGAGGGCGACCGGCCACACUGGGACUGAGACACGNCCCAGACUCCUACGGGAGGCAGCAGUGGGGAAUAUUGCACAAUGGGCGGAAGCCUGAUGCAGCGACGCCGCGUGAGGGAUGACGGCCUUCGGGUUGUAAACCUCUUUCAGUAGGGACGAAGCGGAAGUGACGGUACCUACAGAAGAAGCGCCGGCCAACUACGUGCCAGCAGCCGCGGUAAGACGUAGGGCGCGAGCGUUGUCCGGAUUUAUUGGGCGUAAAGAGCUCGUAGGCGGCUUGUCGCGUCGACUGUGAAAACCCGCGGCUCAACUGCGGGCUUGCAGUCNAUACGGGCAGGCUAGAGUUCGGUAGGGGAGACUGGAAUUCCUGGUGUAGCGGUGAAAUGCGCAGAUAUCAGGAGGAACACCGGUGGCGAAGGCGGGUCUCUGGGCCGAUACUGACGCUGAGGAGCGAAAGCGUGGGGAGCGAACAG